GAGGCUAUACUUUCAGGGAUCAUUUCUAUAGUAUGUUGCUAGAGAAGUUUCUCUGAGUGUGUAGAGUACCAAUGAGCAUGC
rnacentral:snoRNA from 1 species